AUACGGAGGGUGCGAGCGUUGUUCGGAAUUAUUGGGCGUAAAGAGCAUGUAGGCGGUCUGUUAAGUCUGGUGUGAAAGCCCGGGGCUCAACCCCGGAAGUGCAUUGGAUACUGGCAGACUUGAGUGUGGGAGAGGAAAGCGGAAUUCCGAGUGUAGGAGUGAAAUCCGUAGAGAUUCGGAGGAACACCAGUGGCGAAGGCGGCUUUCUGGACCAAUACUGACGCUGAGAUGCGAAAGCGUGGGGAGCAAACAGGAUUAGAAACCCCAGUAGUCC
rnacentral:rRNA from 1 species